GGGCCGGUAGCUUAGCUGGUAGAGCGUCGCGUUUGCAUCGCGAAGGUCGAGAGUUCGAAUCUCUU
rnacentral:tRNA from 1 species